rnacentral:rRNA from 1 species
UACGUAGGAGACGAGCGUUGUCCGGAGUUACUGGGCGUAAAGGGUGCGCAGGUGGCGGCGCGCGUGGGGGGGUGAAAUCGCCCGGCUUAACUGGGCGGGGGCCUUCCAGACGGCGUGGCUUGAGCAGCGGAGGGGGACGUGGAAUUCCGGGUGGAGCGGUGAAAUGCGUAGAGAUCCGGAGGAACACCAGUGGCGAAGGCGGCGUCCUGGCCUGCGACUGACGCUGUGGCGCGAAAGCUAGGGGAGCGAACGGG